GGAUCCAGACUUUGAUCCUGGCUCAGGAUGAACGCUAGCGGCAGGCCUAACACAUGCAAGUCGAGGGGCAUCACGAGGUAGCAAUACUUUGGUGGCGACCGGCGCACGGGUGCGCAACGCGUAUGUAACCUACCUAUAACAGGGGCAUAACACUGAGAAAUUGGUACUAAUUCCCCAUAAUAUUCGGAGAGGCAUCUCUCCGGGUUGAAAACUCCGGUGGUUAUAGAUGGACAUGCGUUGUAUUAGCUAGUUGGUGAGGUAACGGCUCACCAAGGCAACGAUACAUAGGGGGACUGAGAGGUUAACCCCCCACACUGGUACUGAGACACGGACCGGACUCCUACGGGAGGCAGCAGUGAGGAAUAUUGGUCAAUGGACGCAAGUCUGAACCAGCCAUGCCGCGUGCAGGAAGACGGCUCUAUGAGUUGUAAACUGCUUUUGUACGAGGGUAAACUCACCUACGUGUAGGUGACUGAAAGUAUCGUACGAAUAAGGAUCGGCUAACUCCGUGCCAGCAGCCGCGGUAAUACGGAGGAUUCAAGCGUUAUCCGGAU
rnacentral:rRNA from 1 species